CAUGGGAACAACCGCUGUUGCUUAGCAACGACGACAUUUCCGUUCCAGAAAAAUGAGCAGAUAGCAAACAGGUGAGUUCAACGACUUGGUUACAAGUCUUCUAACUCCUCGAAACCGAACUUCUAAUGAACCCACGCCUGGUUGGUUCGACAUGUUCGUCUGGGCGUGUUGGUCGCUCGGGUUCGUGCCUCCGCAUGGGAAAGCGUCGACCGGCCGCCGAGCCGCCAUCACCGGCCACCCUCACCGGGUACUGGCGGCGGCUCGCUUCGCCAUGGUCGGAUUCAACCAGGUCAAAAGGGAUGUCAUCAAGCAGAGGUUGGAAAAUUACUGCUGUCUGUGGUGUCAGGCUUGAAGUAUUUCCUGGUUCUGCAGUUGGGCCGUCCACCGGUCUGCGGGAUGAAUGUGUCCGCACAACAUUGUGCGCCCACCGCUCCGCACAAGGCAGAGCAUCGACUGAGGAGAGAGAGAGAGAGAGAGAACACGCCAGCGACGUCUGCAGGUGUCCCACCCUCCAUCGCCUCUUCCUCUGCUUCCUCGUGGAUGCUUCGAGAUGUGUCUGUGUCCCGUAAACGGCAAGGAGCCACGAUGGAAGGGUGCGAGGUUGAGGUCGCUCCCCACAAACCCAGAGAGCAUCAUCAUUAAAAGUGUUUGCGGCGGGGUUAAAGGUCGAAGGCAGGCGAGCGGUGACCUCUUGGGAGAAGGCCGCGGUGACAUCUGACCCUUAACCGGGUGUGCCGCUCAACCCCGGAGGAUACACCUCAACAAUGGCCGGGCACGUGCCUUGGCCUGGUCACCAUGGUAACGAAGGACCUUUUGGCACGAGGGAGGCCGUGCGGCGGGCGGUCGGGGGCGUAUCGGUCAUAACUGUCUCUUUAUUGUGAUUGGUGUUCGCCAUCUGCUGCCAAUUGACUUGAAUACGUGGGACACGUCCGCGCCAGCAUUGAAGGGGCCGACUGCGUAAUCUCUGCAGGCAACUGUGAAGGUGCUUUUUAUUCUCACAAUCACCUGGAGAGAUUCUGCAGUUUGUCUCACAAUGUGAUCGUACUGUUUUAGCAGUGGGGCCAUUUCUUUAAAAAAAAAAAAGAAAAAAAAUUAAAUUGCUGGUCCCCGAUGACAUCAGCAUUUCUCUCUCUUCUGGUUGGUUGGUUGGUUGGUCACAGCAAAUCUUGUUACAGGCGACUUCAAACAGCGAAACUCGUCUAUGGCCAUCAGUACGUUUUAUUUUUUCUAUUUUUAUGCAAGAGCUCACGAUGAAUUUGUUGAAUUGUAUUUGAAUCUUUUUAGCCAGAGCAAAAAAAAAAAAUUGUUCAGCAAGCAAAACACAAUAUGUAUAUUAGCAUCUACUUUUACGUGUGGUUAGACGAUCUGGCGCAAAAAAAAAUGUUUACUUUACAUUACAUUUACAUUACUGCAAACUACGGCAUUAUUUGCCCUUAAAAUUAAGCCAAAAGACAAUACAACAUAAUUUUUUUCCCCUCAGUAAAUCCCCCAAAAGGUGUUUUAAUAGAAUAAAAACCAUAAUGUGUAGAUCUAAUUUUGUAUUAUAGAGAAACCGUUCUACAAAAAUGUAAUGAUUUUUAAAAAAAGUCGGUGAGUCUAUGAACGAAUAUGAGGGUCGCACUGGAAAAAAAUAAAUAGUAAAUAGUUGCAAUAUGACAAGAAGAAUUGUAUUUUUUAAUAGACUUUAACUGACUAAAACGUAAUUUCAUUUAAUGUAAACUUUGUUUGACAAAGACUUCUUUGAUUACUAUAAACAUUUUGACUGCAGGGCGGCACGGUGACUCAACUGGAAAGCUUUGGCCUCACGGUUCUGAGGUCCAGGGUUCGAUCCUGGCCCUGCCUGUGUGGAGUUUGCAUGUUCUCCCCGUGCCUGCGUGGGUUUUCUCCGGGCGCUCUGGUUUCCUCCAGCAUCCCCCAAAAAAACAUGCAACAUUAAUUGGACACUGUAAAUUGCCCCAAGGUGUGAUUGUGAGUGGGGCUGUUUGUCUCAAUGUGCCCUCCGAUUGUCUGGCGACCAGUUCAGGGUGUACCCCGCCUCCUGCCCGUUGACAGCUGGGAUAGGCUCCAGCACUCCCACGACCCUCAUGAGGAUAAGCGGCAAAGAAAAUGGAUGGAUGGAUUUUGACUGCAUAACAUAACAUAGAUCCAGAAAUAUUAUUAUAUGAGAGACAUAACAGAACAUCUAGCCUUUAAUCUGCCUUUUUUUAAUUUAAAAAUAAAACAACAAAAAUGUAAAUUUUAAUCUAAAAUUAGGAUUGAAUUACCAUGUGGUCGACCUUCAGUCGGUAGCAGUAUUCAGUUACCAACCUGACUGUGGACUGUUUCACAAAUACGUUUCGAUGUAUGUUUCACUACAACAGAGUGGAGAUUUUAAGAUUGACUCUAUCAAAAAAGGACAUAACAUGAUGAAAAAUAUGAAACUGAAGUAUAAUUAUUUUGUUCACGGUUUGAGCCUCUAAAACGACAAAAUGCUGCUCGUGUUGUCACUGAAGGCAUCAAAGGGGUUCUUAAAAUGCCAGACCCCAUGAUGACGGGGAGCACAGCAAUUUCAGGGAUACAUGGGAAAUGUUCAGUAUGAUUUUUAAAACUAGAAAAUACAUGAUUAAUAUGAAGCAUUUUAAAAUAACUUGUCGUGGGCAACAGAACCAUGUAAAAAUAAAUAAAUAAAUAAAUAAAAUAGUAUUGAUUAACCACUGUAGUUAGCAAAGUAGGUAACGGGACGUGACACUCAUGUACAUUCAAUUAAAAAAAAAAAAAAAAAAAAAAAAAAUUUUGAAAAAUUAAGAAAGUUAGGGUUUUGAUACUUAUUCUUGUCCGAUAUAUGCAUAACUGGCUGUCCACUUGAAAUCAGACGUCACAGUUUCGUUACUCGAUCACAUUUGCAUGACGAAUAACUGAUGAGGGAUUCAAAUAAAGUGAAAUUAAAACAAAGGAUGCGAGGUGGGCACAAAGUCGCGAGAGCGCUUUUUCCUCGUCAAGGCUGCCGCUUGUCCCGCCACCAGUCGUCGUCCCCCCCUCCCUCAUCUCUUUUCCCAUUUUUCCCUCCUCUUGUGUUAGCCCCACUGUCUCGCCCCCCACCCCCGCGUCCACCUCUAUUCU